rnacentral:lncRNA from 1 species
CAACUCUUUAUUGUUCCUAGUCCCCGUGUGCACUUGGCACUCCAGCAUUAACUUCACAGACAGUGUGAAUAAAGGGCUCCCAUGACCGUGAGCUAUAACUACUCACCUGGAAAGAAACCAAACUGCCUCUCAAGUACCCAUCACAUGAUAUUGCAUAAUGUCAGUAACAUCGUGCUGUUUUUAAUGUUUAAAAAUACCUGUUAAAGAUCAUGCAACAUAUGCACUUCAUGAAAAUGCUCAAUUACACUCAAACAGCAAGGCAGUGGGACACGGAGCAGCUAUGAGCACAGUGUCAAGUGAACCACACAGGUCCAGUCAGUGAUGGACAUCUCACUGAGCACUAAGCCUGCAACCUUACCAUCUACAAUUCUACCCAUGGCUCAGGACACACCACUAGAGCUGAUCUACGUAAACACACUAUGAUCAAAUGACAAACAGUUUCAAUGCAGGAUGAAGACAGGCACACCUCUAGCCUAAAUGUAUGUGGUCAUUCUCCUAGCUCUGCUAAGAAUAAUAAAAGUGUCAAGGUCACACCAGCUCCGCCUCUAUUCUUGCUUUGUUGUAUGCUUUCAAAUUCCUUUUUAAAACCAUGCCUCCAUUUUUAUAAUCCACCCCCCUCCCCAGAACUAAAAUGCUGAUUUAGGAACAGAUACGUUAAAUAAUUGCAGUACAGAGGCAGUGAUUUAAUGUUAGCAAACUAAAUACUGUCAUUUGUCUAGUACCACCGUCACUAACUCCUUUAAUGUCUUCCCAAAUCUCUGGAGGAAGGAAAGGCCUAGCACUUGGGGCUGGGGACGUAGCUAGUCACUAGAGGACUUAGAUCUGUGAGGUCCUGCGUUUCAUCACCAGUACCACUAACUUUUCUUUAGCCAUGAGCAUUACUUAGUAGCUGCAGAACAGACUAAGAUGGUUUUGAGGGCACAGGUGGGUGGUGUCGGAAGCCAGGGCUGGGUUGGAAAGAGUAUCCCAGGAAUACACUGCCCUCCUCCAACUCCUCUGCUAACGACUCACCAUGGCCCAGGCCACUGCUUUGGGCUCUGCUAACUCACUUAAUCAUCAACUUUUACGCCCUCUUUAGUAUGUAUUUUCUACUUAAAUUUUAAGACCUCUUAAAAGCAAUGAUUCUUAUACAGAACACUGGCUAUCCAUUUGCUAGGUAUUCACUUUUAGUUUCUGGGCUACUCUAAAACCUAUAAAUCUGCACCAAGAUUAAACACUACCAGUGAAAUUGGUUUCUGCUUCAUCUAAUACUAUAUCUCCCCUCAAAUGUUACAUGAAUAGUUUAUAAAGGAGAUCUCUGGGUUUAUUUCCUUGUGACUUAAGCCCUUUCAAUUUAAAUACAUUUCCGACCUCUCUCUGUAUUCAGCCUGAUCUCAUCUCUGCAGAGCUGUGCGUCAGGAAAGGGCACAGCAGUGGUAGUGAGACGUUAAAGUGCCUGUGGUGACGGUGACAAUGGAGAUGACUGGUGACCGUCCUGUCAGGCUUUCCCGUCUGCUUCCCCAGUGCCUGCCACCUAUCAGGUGUCUGUGAUGCAUAAACACGAUGAGUAAUGAGGAUGGGUCAACUCAAAGCUUAUGACACUCUUGUCCUCAGGUAGGACAACGCUACUUCACUUCUCUCUUCCUCAGAGAAUGCUUUCUCUCUCUUCCCCAAAGCCCGUGCUAUCUGAGGAGGCUGCAUGCAGCUCAGACGCAUCUUUCGAGAGCCUGGUGUAACUGGAGCGCUGGCUUCGCUUGUGCGCCAUGCUCUUCAGGUUUUCAUUCUGCACAGCAGUUGGGUUGGGACUGGGCCCAGGCCUCAAAAUGACCUGGGAUGUUUCCCUGACUCCCUCUAUCUCAUCAAAGUUCUGAUUGGCUCUGUUGGUGGGCGCAGUGUUGUUGUUCAGAGUCACAGUGCUGGGUGUUCGGUUUAGAUUGUAGGCCUUCUGGCACGAAGGCCAGCUUUCUUCAGGGCUGCUAGCGAUCAGGCUGCACUCAGAGGGGCUUUUCUUGUCUUCCGAGCAAAUGGACAUCCGAGCUAUGACAGGAUCUUGCAGGCCACUCAGACUGUGUGGCAUCCCUCGCUUCCCACUGUGGCCCUCAUCUUCAAGCUCGAUGAGAUUCGCCUUUUCCAGCUGGGAGUCAUCCGCUGCCUCAUUGUGGAGAGAGUGGUUGGGAGAACUCUCAUUGGACCUCACUCCCGAAUCGGAGGAAUCUUUCUUGUCGAGGAGGGCGUCCGACAAAUACUCUUUUGCUUUGAUGAAUGUUCUGAUAGGCUCGACGCUGUGCUCUGGAGACUUAGCCACUCUCUCUGCUUUGCCUUCGGCCUUUUUAUCCUUAUCAUCUUUGAGCAGUGGGGUAUUAUCUGACUCUUCUGUCCCAGACUCAUCUUCAUCACUGGGCAGUUUCUGGUAGCGCAGACCACUUCCCUUAAGCUUCAAGUCUGUCUGGAAGAGACUAGGCCGUUCUGAAGACUUCUUGCCUGGGAGCAGCUUACUACCUGACUGGUCGGAUUUCUCAUCUUCCUCAGUAAUGGGGUCCAGGGGUGAGGCCUCAUUAGUGGACACCCCUGAUGAGGAGUAAUCUAGGACAUCCCCCCUCUUCAUUAAAAAUGACUUCCGCCCCUCCUCCUGCUUUAGCUCAUUCUCCUUCCCCCUUUCUUGUUCUAGAUUAGAAUGAAUGGAGCCCCCUGAAGAACUCUGACCUAUGUAGUAUGUGCUGUGUGGAGAAGAUCUGCCGCUUAUUGUUGACGACCCUGUGCCCCCUUCUAACUGGGACAUCUGAGCAAUGUACUCUCUAUAGGCAUCUCUAUACUCGGCCUGCACCUUAUCAGUAAAAGCACCUUCUAGAAAGAAUUCCUCUUAGAAGAGAUAAAGAAGAAACAAA